UAACACUGAAAUAUGAAUCGAAAGAGAAUGAUUUAUUUCUAAUACAGCUCAGCUGGUUACAGCUCUAUUUUAUCCAAGUUUCAAACUUCUACUUAUAGGAUGCUAAAGAUGAAGACGAAAUUAAGCGUCAACCCCUGCUUAACGGCGAAGAUAAAGUUGCCGAGGCAGGGAGUCAAAAGGAAGCAACGCCUUCUAAGCAAGAAGAAAUAAAGGGAAACAACACAAAGACAGAUAUAAUCAACUCUGCCCAGGAUGCCCUUCAGAGUAAUAAAUUUGUAUUAACCCCCGACUAUAUACAACAAACUAUCAAAAGCGCACUGAAACAGGAAAACCUAAACCCAGAAA